rnacentral:rRNA from 1 species
CACGUAGGGUGCGAGCGUUGUCCGGAAUUAUUGGGCGUAAAGAGCUCGUAGGCGGUGUGUCGCGUCGGCCGUGAAAACUUGGGGCUUAACUCUGAGCGUGCGGUCGAUACGGGCAUCACUUGAGUUCGGCAGGGGAGACUGGAAUUCCUGGUGUAGCGGUGAAAUGCGCAGAUAUCAGGAGGAACACCGGUGGCGAAGGCGGGUCUCUGGGCUGUAACUGAUGCUGAGGAGCGAAAGCAUGGGGAGCGAACAGG